rnacentral:rRNA from 1 species
AGCAGCCGCGGUAAUUCCAGCUCCAAUAGCGUAUAUUAAAGUUGUUGCAGUUAAAAAGCUCGUAGUUGAAUUUCGGGAUCAAUACGUCGGUCGUGCCUUCGGUACGUACUGGUAUUGUUGGUUUCUCCCUUCUGACGAACCAUGAUGUCAUUUAUUUGGUGUUGUGGGGAAUCAGGACUGUUACUUUGAAAAAAUUAGAGUGUUUAAAGCAGGCUCACGCUUGAAUACAUUAGCAUGGAAUAAUGAAAUAGGACGUUUGAUUCUAUUUUGUUGGUUUCUAGGAUUGACGUAAUGAUUAAUAGGGAUAGUUGGGGGCAUUAGUAUUCAAUUGUCAGAGGUGAAAUUCUUGGAUUUAUUGAAGACUAACUACUGCGAAAGCAUUUGCCAAGGAUGUUUUCAUUAAUCAAGAACGAAAGUUAGGGGAUCGAAGACGAUCAGAUACCGUCGUAGUCUUAACCAUAAACUAUGCCGACUAGGGAUCGGAUGAUGUUAAUUUUUAAUGACUCAUUCGGCGCCUUAC